rnacentral:rRNA from 1 species
GAUGAACGCUGGCGGCGUGCCUAAUACAUGCAAGUCGAGCGAACGGACGAGAAGCUUGCUUCUCUGAUGUUAGCGGCGGACGGGUGAGUAACACGUGGAUAACCUACCUAUAAGACUGGGAUAACUUCGGGAAACCGUAGCUAAUACCGGAUAAUAUUUUGAACCGCAUGGUUCAAAAGUGAAAGACGGUCUUGCUGUCACUUAUAGAUGGAUCCGCGCUGCAUUAGCUAGUUGGUAAGGUAACGGCUUACCAAGGCAACGAUGCAUAGCCGACCUGAGAGGGUGAUCGUCCACACUGGAACUGAGACACGGUCCAGACUCCUACGGGAGGCAGCAGUAGGGAAUCUUCCGCAAUGGGCGAAAGCCUGACGGAGCAACGCCGCGUGAGUGAUGAAGGUCUUCGGAUCGUAAAACUCUGUUAUUAGGGAAGAACAUAUGUGUAAGUAACUGUGCACAUCUUGACGGUACCUAAUCAGAAAGCCACGGCUAACUACGUG